GUCACAUUUCCUUUGGGGGCUGCUGCUCACCAAGGCCAGCAGAGCUCCUGUGCCAGCUCUGGAGCUGCUCCCUGAGCAAGGGCUGGCUCAUUUGUGCUGCUGGAGUGACAAAUAAUGGGAUUUCACCGACUGUUCUGCUUCCCCUUGUGCAUGUACAGGACUGAAAGGAAGCUUUCAGUAGUGCCAGUGAUCUUCCUGCAGAUGUCCUGGUGUUGUGCUGUGGAUGGAAGGAACAUCAAACCAAACCACUGUUUCCUGAGUGUGCAGGGAGGACAUUGGUGCCAGCACUGAUUCAUGGGUUCCAUUGUGAUUUAUGCCCUCUGGAGCUUUGUCAGAUAGGAAGUGAUGAUGGGACAGGAAGCCAGGCAUUGUAAGAGAACAUCCAUGAGUAUGUAACUGGAGGAAAAAGCUGCAAAAAUAAUUUAUGGAAGAUGUUAUAAAGCUGUACAGUCUGUAUGAAAAUAGAUCUAUGAUUGUGCACAGCUGGAAAUUGUAAUUGUUGAAAAUACUGCGAGCCAGUGACUGAUUUUUACGGGGGGAAGAGUCUGGUCUUGUGUUUGAGCAGUGUCAGAGAAAGCACUGGAAGGAUUAAAUCCCCCCUUCUCUCUGCCUUGUGUGAGCUCUGCUAAUGAAAGUUUUCUGAAAAAUACUUGUGAAAUUACCUCAGAUAUACAACUUAUAAACUAGCAAUAAAUUCUUCAUCUUGAAGGCUGGGGCUUAAUUA
rnacentral:lncRNA from 1 species